rnacentral:rRNA from 1 species
CCAUAAGGGNGGNNGCNGUNGGGGGUCUUCCGNCGUGGGCGGNNGCCUGNCGGNGCCCCGCCGCGUGGGUGNUGNNGGUCUUCGGCUCGUCNCCCUCUGUUUUCNGGGNNGAACCAACGUGNUGGUCACUGUGCCCGUCUUGGCGGGCCCUGNUCUGANNGCCNCGGCUCNCUUCGUGCCCGCCGCCGCGGUAUUUCCUAGGUGGCCAGCGUUUUCCGGAAUUAUUGGGCGUAAAGCGCGCGUAGGCGGUUUUUUAAGUCUGAUGUGAAAGCCCACGGCUCAACCCGGGAGGGGCCUUGGAAACUGGAAAACUCGAAUGCAAAAAAGGAAAGGCGAAUUCCCCGUGGUACGGCCGAAUGCCAAAAAAUUGGAGGAACCCCCGGGGCGAAAGGGAACUUCUGGCCCGUAACCGAACCUUGAGUGCCAAACCCGGGGGGAACCACCGGGAUAAAUACCCUGGUAGCCCCCCCCUAAACUAUGAUGCCAAACGUUAA